rnacentral:rRNA from 1 species
GAUGAACGCUGGCGGCGUGCCUAACACAUGCAAGUCGAGCGGACGUACGUGAAGUUUGCUUCUCUGACGUUAGCGGCAGACGGGUGAGUAACACGUGGAUAACCUACUUAUAAGACUGAGAUAACUUCGGGACACCGGAGCUAAUACCGGAUAAUAUUUUGUACCGCGUGGUUCAGAAGUGAAUGACGGUCUUGCUGUCACUUAUAGAUGGAUCCGCGCUGCAUGAGUUAGUUGGUAAGGUAACGGCUUACUAAGGCAACGAUGCAUAGCCGACCUGAGAGGGAGGACGCGCACACGGGAACUGAGACAGGGCCCAGACUCCGACGGGAGGCAGCAGUAGAGAAUCUUCCGCAAGGGGGGAGAGCCUGACAGAGCAACGCCGCGUGAGUGAUGAAGGUCUUCGGAUCGGAGAACUCUGUUGUUCGUGAAGAACAAAUGUGUAAGUAACUGUGCAGAUCUUGACGGUACCGGAGCAGAAAGCCCCGGCUAACUACGUG